UGUAUGAGGUCUGUAUGUAUGAGGCAUGUAUGUAUGAGGUGUGUAUGUAUGAGGUGUGUAUGUAUGAGGUCUGUAUGUAUGAGGCAUGUAUGUAUGAGGUCUGUAUGUAUGAGGCAUGUAUGUAUGAGGCGUGUAUGUAUGAGGUGUGUAUGUAUGAGGCAUGUAUGAAGUCUCUGCUUCCCACACUUCGUGUGGCACAUACCUGCACUUGUUUGUGUUUUGCUUCUCUGACUCAUGACUCUGUUGGUGAGAUUCACCUACUUGGAAUUCUUACCUCUGAAGCCCGUCCUCUUACUUUUGCUUUGUUUGGAG
ensembl:lncRNA